AAUCCCUUAGCGAGGAUCCAUUGGAGGGCAAGUCUGGUGCCAGCAGCCGCGGUAACACCAGCUCCAAUAGCGUAUAUUAAAGUUGUUGCAGUUAAAAAGCUCGUAGUUGGAUAUCUGGUACGAAAGCCUACCCCGCCGCCCUCUCUUUGGGUGUGUGUGUGCUGGUUUGCAUUUGUACCAUCUGUCCGAAAUCGCCUUUCUGACCCCUUUAUGGGGUUUGGGAUUGUAAUCCGGACCUUUUACUUUGAAAAAAUUAAAGUGUUCAAAGCAGGCGUUUUGCUUGAAUACAUUAGCAUGGAAUAAUAAAAUAGGACUUUGGUUCUCUUUUGUUGGUUUUUUUGAGCCAAAGUAAUGAUUGAUAGGGUCAGUUGGGGGUGCUUGUAUUGGGCGGCCAGAGGUGAAAUUCUUGGAUUCGCUCAAGACAAACUUAUGCGAAAGCAUUCACCAAGGAUGUCUUCUUUAAUCAAGAUCGAAAGUUGGGGGAUCGAAGACGAUCAGAUACCGUCGUAGUCUCAACCAUAAACGAUGCCAACUAAGGAUCAGCGGAUGUUGUUUUAGACUCCGUUGGCACUUUACGAGAAAUCAAAGUCUUUGGGUUCCGGGGGGAGUCUAGUCGCAAGGCUGAAACUUAAAGGAAUUGACGGAAGGGCACCACAACGGCGUGGAGCCUGCGGCUUAAUUUGACCCAACACGGGAAAACUUACCAGGUCCAGACAUAGGCAGGAUUGUCAGAUUGCAGAUCUUUCUUGAUUCUAUGGAUGGUGGUGCAUGGCCGUUCUUAGUUGGUGGAGUGAUUUGUCUGGUUAAUUCCGUUAACGAACGGGACCUCAGCCUGCUAAAUAGUCAGGCAAACAAUUCUUGUUUGUCUUUGUUUGACUUCUUAGAGGGACUGUCGGUAUCCAGCCGACGGAAGUUUGAGGCAAUAACAGGUCUGUGAUGCCCUUAGAUGUUCUGGGCUGCACGCGCGCUACACUGUUGCACUCAGCGAGCAUUACACCCUUGACCGACAGGUCUGGGUAAUCUUUCAAAGUGCAACGUGCUGGGGCUAGAUUAUUGCAAUUAUUAGUCUUCAACCAGGAAUGCCUAGUAAACGCGAGUCAUCAGCUCGCAUUGAUUACGUCCCUGCCCUUUGUACACACCGCCCGUCGCUCCUACCGAUUGAAUGAUCCGGUAAAAUCUUCAGACCGUGGCGCUAGGUUGGGCAACCGGCCUUUCGCUUUGGGAGGUUGAUUAAACCUUAUCAUUUAGAGGAAGGAGAAGUCGUAACAAGGUU
rnacentral:rRNA from 1 species